GUAAGGAAUAUUGGACAAUGCCCGCAAGGGUGAUCCAGCCAUCCCGCGUGCAGGAAGAAUGCCCUAUGGGUUGUAAACUGCUUUUGUAAGGGAAGAAACCCCCUGAUGCGUUAGGGGUUGACGGUACCUUAAGAAUAAGCACCGGCUAACUCCGUGCCAGCAGCCGCGGUAAUACGGAGGGUGCAAGCGUUAUCCGGAAUCACUGGGUUUAAAGGGUGCGUAGGCGGCUAAAUAAGUCAGAGGUGAAAUGCUACGGCUUAACUGUGGAAUUGCCUUUGAAACUAUAUAGCUAGAAUAGAGUUGAGGUUGGCGGAAUGUGACAUGUAGCGGUGAAAUGCAUAGAUAUGUCAUAGAACAUCGAUUGCGAAGGCAGCUAACUGGGCUUUUAUUGACGCUGAGGCACGAAAGCGUGGGGAUCAAACAGGAUUAGAAACCCUAGUAGUCC
rnacentral:rRNA from 1 species